rnacentral:rRNA from 1 species
UACGUAGGGUGCAAGCGUUGCCCGGAUUUAUUGGGCGUAAAGGGCGCGUAGGCGGUCGGGUAAGUCUGAUGUGAAAUCUCACAGCUUAACUGUGAAACUGCAUUGGAUACUAUCCGGCUCGAGGAAUGGAGGGGAGACUGGAAUACUUGGUGUAGCAGUGAAAUGCGUAGAUAUCGGAAGGAACGCCGGUGGCGAAAGCGACGUGCUGGACCUCUUCUGACGCUGAGGCGCGAAAGCCAGGGGAGCGAACGGG